GAGUACCGGCUAGUAUCGCGAGAUCAGGAAGGUGGCCGAGUGUGUCGCCGCGGCCAUCAGGGGGGUUAUAGCCAUGUGACUGAUCUUCGUCCAAGAAUAUGUAAAGAAAAAGUGUUGAGUUGGCUUUUAGGGCUAGAGCAAUGUAUCUUAGGCUCACUUAAGGAAGCUGUAGAGAUGAGCCCAAGGAGGGAAACCAGAAGAGCCCCCCAGGCUCACCAGUUGUUUGUUGGCUCCCUACAAACAUGUCAUUCAAGUGGCUAAUCUUACAACAGCACAAAUUCAUCUAACCAGAAAGAGAAGAGGAGGCUCCAAAGGCACUUGACUACUGAGCAUCACCCUGGACGUGUACAAGUCUGCGUCCUUAUUGUUUUCUUCAUUGGGCCGAACUUUCUGGUCCUCAUCCAACAGCUCUUCUAUCACGUGUUCGAAAGUGUCAGCCAAUGAUGUCAAGCCUCUUGAACCUGCCUUGGGCCCAUUCACGCUCUCCAGAGUCCCAUGGGUCCGCACACCUGGAGAUACUCUAUUAUAGCAAAGAAGAAAGAUAAUUUCAUUGAGCCAUCCUGUUUUACAGCACCCAACAGAAUCCCUUCAAAGCCUCGUGGUCUGACACCCUAUGCUACGUGACUUGUGACCCAUCCAUUUGUCAUGUUCUUCGGGAAUGUGGCUAAGGGGCUAAGAUGUGACUUGAAAAGAAAGGUAGAACAAGAUCAUCUCAAAUUUAUUAUCAAGGAAUAGUUCAGAAAACGACUUCAGACCACAGAGACAGCAGAACAGAUGGUCCGGCAUGGAUAGAGCAUCAGACACUCACAGACUGUGCCAACAAGAGCCAUCGAGUCAAAACAGCCAAAGGAAGGAGGGUCAUGGAAUGGGUUCUCUCACACCAAACUGAUGCCCAGAGGCCCUCAGCAUGAAUAACAAAGGCAACCAGACCCACAAGCCAUACUGAGUGGAUACAAAACCUAUACCUAGGCUG
rnacentral:lncRNA from 1 species